GGGGGGGGGGGGUCCUUUUCAGGUCACCACCACUUCCCAUUUCUGCUCAGGUUGCUCAGGAAACACGUGCCCGAACGCGUGGAGGCCUGCUGCUGCCAGCCAGAAGAUACCCGGACCGCAGAGGACGAGUAGUGUGUGUGUGUGUGUGUGUGUGUGUGUGUGUGUGUGUGUGUGUGUGUGUGUGUGUGUGUGUGUGUGUGUGCCACAAUUUAUCUGAGGUUCACUGCACUUCCUCGUGUCUUACAAGGGAACCUUCUGUUACCGGCACGGGACUCCGGCAGAUGGCUGCCGGGACGUUGCUCCUGUAAACAUAAAAACACUGAGAAAACAUGGACAAACAACCGUUUUCAUACUUUGUGGGAUUGUUAAAGUUUCGAAGGGUUUUUCCCUCAUAGCUUGUAAAAAUAACUCAUUUGUUUGGUUACAUUGACUAAAUGUCCUUUUGAUGAGAAGGUGGUGUUGAUUAAACUUACCAUCAAGGCUUGAACAGAUCGUUCAAUAAAGGAAAUAAAAAAAACAUUUCAGAACUUUCCGAUGACUUAAGGAGCAAAAGUUCUGGACGGGGCUUACUGUGAUUGACAGGUCUCCACCACAGUGUUGUGGUGUCUGGGAGUUGUUUGUGUUUUGGUCUGAAACUUUCGCGGCGUGUUUUCAUUUCCGGUAAGUUUAUCGUAACAUUUUGGUUGCCUGAGAUAUUGUGCAUUCAGUUUAUCUCAACUUACCCUACAAACCAAUGGGUGAUGUCACAACGACAUCUUCCGAUAUAAAGUCCACAACCAGACCAAUUUCAAAAUACCACUCCUGAGGGUAGUGCUGUAGAACGUGACCUUUGCUGCUGCCUAGUAUGAGCAAUUACACAUACUGUUUUCCAGCACAUCACAGCGCCGAAGCAGCACCGUUGAGGUCACCAAUGACCUCCUCGGUGCAGCCAAUAUUGGUUACUCCUUUUGCUACACAGUUGCUUUGCAGACAGGACCUUCUUUGUUACUGGUGGCAAUUCAUCCUCCACCCUGGUAUCUCUCACGAGGCGUCCCUCAGGGCUCAACCGCCGGUCCCCUUCUAUUUUCUAUCCAAAAAUGUUUGUUUGGCCAAAUUAUUCAGAACCACAACAUCCCAUUUCACCGCAACCCAUGUGGAACAAAGCUACCGUCCAUUGAUAAUAAAGAAUGGUCACAAUGUGAGACAAACAAAACAAAGGUCACAUAGUCACUCCCAGAAAUAAACUCCUCCAGCAGCUUGCCCAGUCCCUCAACUAAUUAUGCCAUCACAUUGAAUAAUAUUCAACAGUACUUGGCCAAAUAUUUAGCUAUGCAAACGUACAAGAAGGGGUCACAUUCCCCCCCGCACUAAGCAUCUUUGUGGCGGCCCCCAGUUCGGUGUCAGAUUCCUUGCAGCAUUCUGCUGUUUGUGUUUCUAGGCCUGCAUGGUCUUGUCCCGAGCUACAUUUUGAUUCUCAGCUCAGAUCACAUCGCUCAGAUCCACGGCUCAACGGCUGUCCUCCCACAAUCCAGUCCAACACGUUUUGUGAGAAAGGCAUCUAAUGUUGACCUGCUUGCGUGCUCAUGUAAUGACUCUCGAUGUUUGAUAUGCAUACAGAAUUACUUUCUGUACCGUGUCGAUGUUUAAAGAUGUGAAUUAAAUACUUUUGUCAUGCGAUAAGGUUUUGCUUAAUUAUGCUUAUGUAGGUAAUGGUUGCUUCACAAAUGUUGCCCAUAAGCUGCAGCCAGCAGCCAGUUAGCUUAGCUUAGCACAAAAACUAGACCAGGGAGGAAAACUUCUGUCAUAUUGAAAGUGUCAGAUCUUCCCCGGUUUUGAACCCAAACGCAGAUUAAACAAGAUUGGUGGUGACAAGGUGAGUAAAUACACAAAUGUCUCUGAGAUGGCGUCCCAGACAGGUGAGUGCAGGAGGCUUGACGAAGCGAUGGGGUGGAAGGUUCCGGUUGCCAGGCAGGAGUGAAGGGAAAUCCAGGGUGAACGGCAGAGCAAUAGGAAACGGAUGAGCUAACAGGCAAAUGGACUUAAACUAUCGCGGCUGACACGCAAGCACAACAUACGGAAUAUGGCUGACGAUCCGGCAGGGACUGGAUGACAGGUCUCGGCUUAAAUAAUGUUCAGAUGAUCAGGACCAGGUGUGUUGGUGAUUUGGAAAAGGUGGGAACAGGCCCCGGUGAUCCUGGAAGUCCCGCCUUGUACUCGUUGCCCAGCAACUGGAACCGCGGUUACGUUCAGGAACGACACAAAGCACAAAGCAGACACAGACAAACAGGGACAACACUCUGAAGGAGAUGGGAUCGUGACAGGAAGGUCGUAAAAUGUUUUUCCCAGCAUCUGCAAAGCUCACUAAAUAAUAUCUGUUUCAUUUAAUCUGUACAAAAAGCUGCCCCUCCAGGAAGUUGUUGGCCCCGAGCAAAGACUGUGGUCUUAUAACUGUUCUCAGUGUGCGAAGCUCCUAUAGCUCCAGAAAUGAGAGACGCAUUGUUCCUUAUUUCUCAAGCAAAUAAGUGUCCAAAAUAAUUUGGGGAUCUAGUGAGUACGGAAGCGGGAUGAAUUUCUUUCCUUCAUUUCAUUUCAUAAAAAGGCAAUACAGCUUACAGUCACAUGAACAGUCUGACAGAGCUCCUCGUGAGACCCUGUCCAUAUCUCCUGGGACAUUAAUUCAGCUUUAACAUGAGAGCUACCAAAAGUCCACUGGUAGUCAACGUGUUUCAUAGCUUAUAGCCAAAGACAGCGCUGGGGUUCUUGUAUGGAUGUUUGGUGUUCAUCAUAUGUAUAUAUUCUUCAACAUCUGAGACAACCCCCGACCCCGGACUCUGAUGGGACCAUAGAAUGUGGACUCUGAUGGGACCAGAGGGGGUGGACUCUGAUGGGACCAGAGGAGGUGGACUCUGAUGGGACCAGAGAACGUGGACUCUGAUGGACCAGAGAACGUGGACUCUGAUGGGACCAGAGAACGUGGACUCUGAUGGGACCAGAUGAGGUGGACUCUGAUGGGACCAGAGGGGGUGGACUCUGAUGGGACCAGAGGAGGUGGACUCUGAUGGGACCAGAGGAGGUGGACUCUGAUGGGACUAGAGGAGGUGGACUCUGAUGGGACCAGAAGGGGUGGACUCUGAUGGGACCAGAUGAGGUGGACUCUGAUGGGACCAGAGGGGGUGGACUCCUCUGUCACAGUUCACAGAAAAAGUUUUCCUCAGAUAUUUGUCGGCCAUAUUUUCAAUUAUCAUUAUUUGCUGUUUACGUUCCUUGUGACGCAAAUAAAAAAUAAUGCACAACAGGAAUCUACCAGUGUGUUUCUUGCCAUGUGUUUUAUCUGCCCCUAAACAUCAUUGUGUCCCCGUUUUGCAUAAUAAGAAUAAAUGACCUGCGUUAUCUGCUUACUUUCAGCUGAAACCAAGUGAAGCGAUAAGGCAACCCUUCAGAAACACAAAAACAAUACUGAGCUUCCUAACCGACCUUGACACAGGAGAUAACAGAAAUGAAAGUAAAGUAAAUGGCAGAAAACCUCAACACCUCUCGUAACUCACAAUCAUAAUGAGAUAUUAUCUCAUAGUUAUGACUAAAGGAUCUUUUUGGCCUUGUACUACUAACCCAUAGCAUUCUUUUUUUAUUUUAUUCCUCUUGCACUGUAUGUCUGACGUAUUAUGGCAAUAAAUGUUUCCUGAUCCUGAGAACAUGCAAAGAGGCAGCAAUUAGUGCAUAAUUCAUGUGCGAGGAAAGCGUGAUAUUGCACCAUACAUCCAUCUUUAUUAUGUGUAAUUUGCGAUUCAUUGUAUUCUAAGUAGUGGGUUUUAAUCAAAGAUACUUUAAUAAGCUAUUGAGCAAUGCAAUGAGCAGGUCACCCCAGGGCCAGGAAUAUAUCUAUAUUAAUAUUUAAAAUAAGCUGAAUAAGAAAUAGGCCCUGGACCGGUUUUAUAAGGAAUGCAGUGUGUGUGUGUGUGUGUGUGUGUGUGUGUGUGUGUGUGUGUGUGUGUGUGUGUGUGUGUGUGUGUGUGUGUGUGUGCAGACCUUUUGUAAGGGUAACAGAGCUGUGAACCACCUCGUGCAGUGCAGGUAAUCAUUAAUCUGACACGUCAUCUCGGGCUUGAUGGCACAUUG
ensembl:lncRNA